GAGCAGAGUAGCGAGAGUGCAGAGCUGGAUAGCAGAGCUCGGAGGUCAGAACUGGAUUGCAGAGCUCGGAUGCCAGAGCUGGGAGGCCAGAGCUGAAAAGCAGAGCUGACCGACAGAGCUGAAAAGCAGAGCUGACCGGAAGAGCUGAAGUGCAGAGCUAACUGGCAGAGCUGAAGUGCAGAGCUAACCGACAGAGCUGAAUUGUAGAGCUAACCGGUAGAGCUAAAGUGCAGAGCUAAACCGGCAGGGCUGAAGUGCAGAGCUAACCGGCAGAGCAGAAGUGCAGAGCUAACCGGCAGAGCUGAUUAGCAGAGCUGACUAGCAGAGCUGAAGAGCAGAGCUGACUAGCAGAGUUGACCAGCAGAGCUGACUAGCAGAGCUAGAUUGCAGAGCAGAGCUAGAAUGCAGAGCAAAGCUAGAAUGCAGAGUAGAGCUAGAUCGCAGAGCAGAGCUAGGUAGCAGAGCAGAACGGAGUAGAGCACUUGUGCAUUUUAAGUAUGAAAUGAGUCAUGCAUUGCAUCAUGAUUUAAUUGGUUAUUUAAAACUCCAAUUACAAAAGAAAGACGAGUAAGAAUAUUGUUGGUGUUCUUAACUCAAGAGAAGUGUUUUCAAUUAUUUAUUCAUUAAAUUUUGAAAACCUGGCUAAGUGAAUCAUAUAAUGUUAAGCACUUUACCGUGACUUGAGUUUAGAUUAAGAGACCUAUUAAGAAUAGAUUUCUUGUAGGCUUUGAACGUCAGGAGGAUUAGCACUGCUAUUCCGAUUCAGAGAUAAGGUUAAACGACAGGCUUUGCUUAACCCGCGUGCAAACCCGAAUUCGGUCUAAUUAAGGCAAAACAGUUUUUACACAUAAUAAAUGGUCAGAUUUUGUGUUUUUCAAUUAGUGGCCAAAUAUUGUAUUUCCUUCUUUAAAAUGGUUAUUUCAAAAGCGCUCUCUUUAUUAAAUAUGAGUGUUAAAUUAAAGAUUAUAAAAAGAUUUUUAAUUCAAUGUACAAAAUUUAUGAAAAAUUCAUUUGAAACGAAUAUGUUAUGAUAGUUUAAAGUGUUAAAAUCAACUUAUCCACUGAACCAAAACACAUUCUUGUACAUACAACAUAAUUUUAUUUUACCAAAAUUUUAUUAUUUUUUUAAUUUUUUAUAAAUCAUUGUAAAUACAAUAAGAGAUAUUUGCUGCAAAAUACAUGAAUUUUCACCAUAUUCUGAUUUUCCCUAUGACCUUUAAAAUUUGAAAAAAAAAAAAAAAACAUAACCUUUCGAUUUUUUCUUAUUUUUCCCUUGGGUAUGAAAUACCCCCAAAUAAAAGUUGAUUUUAUGGCUUUUGACUUAAAUUUUUUGAUACCUAAACGUGAUGGAUAAUAAAGGUGGCAUAAUAAAACCGAUGCAUCAGCUUAGGCACCAACAAAUUUAAGUUCAAAGCCCUAAAAUCAGCUUCUGCUUGGAGGUAUUUCUUACUCAUUGGAAAAAUCAGAGGUGAUGUAUUUUUAUUUUUAUUUUCAAAUUUUAAAGAUCAUGAAAAAAAUUAGAAUUUGCCGAAAGUUCAUGUAUUUUACGACAAAUAUCCCUUAAAAUAAUUAUAUAAUAAUUUUAAUUUUUAAAAUAUCUAUAAAAAAAUAUUAAUUAAAUAUUUAUCAGAAAUUCGGGUAACUCGAAUAACCGAUACCCAAAAUUUCUGAAAACUGAUAACCGAACUCGAACCGACACCCGAAAUUUUCGGUUAUUGGAUAACCGAACCCGAGCGAUUCAGUUCGAUUAUUGGAUUAUCCAAAAUACAAUAUUCAUUUAGAUAGCCCUAGGUAUAAAUUAGUAGCUCGGAAAUACACAUUCCCAACAAAUCUAUAAAUUAUUAAUAUAGAAAAAAAUGAUUUUGGAUUGAAUAAAAUUUACUAAAUCGAAAGAUUUCCAAAUCUAACACCCUAUAAGAACAUCAUUAUCAUGUGAAUUUAAUUUUUGAUACAAUUGAAAACAUCGUAAACACGUGAAUUCUUCACAUUAAUUUAAUCUACGGAGACGGAAAAAAUUACCCUUCUGUGAUUUCUCUUCUUAUCUUUUUGCUCGUCUUGAUCUACUUUUUGAUUCAAUCCUCCCUUCUCAUCAAAUUAGCUCGUCUUGAUCUUCCGAUGAAUCCUUUGAUUUGAAGGGUAAUUGUAAUAUAUUUGAAGUCAAAAGAGAUAUGAAAAGAAUCUUAAAGUUGAAAACUUGAAAAGACCAAAAAUCUUGAUAAAAUUAAUCUCAUUUUUACAUAAUGCGGUUUCCUAGUCGAUUAAUCGAAAAACUAGGAAGAAAAAAAAAAAAAAAAAAAGAAAUUUCAAAUGCUCAAUCACAAACAUAACAGAUCAAGAAGCAGCUAAGUAGGUAAGAUACUUCAAAACAAACACGAAUAGUAGAAUUGAGCUCAAGUCUAUUUUCUUGGCAAAAAAGUUUAGAAAGAAAUCGGCCUCGCUGCUUGUAGAAAAGCUUGAGUAAUACAACUAAGUCUGAUUCCAUUUUAACAACAAUAAUUAAGCAAAUACUAUAAAAUAAAAUACCUGGAAUGCUAGCGACGGACCAAUGACGGAGGAGCAGUGGUUGGGGGAUGGAGGCGCGGCAGAAUCCGGUGGUGUUAACUGUGAUUAGAUUUAGGGCUCUGAACAGUGAAUAUUGUUUGAGUAGAAAGUUUAUGAAUAAUUAUAUUGAAAGUCCAGUUGAAGAAGCCAAAUAAUUAAUGUGCAUAAUUAAUUAACAACGGCUAAUAAAAUAAUAAGAUAAUGACGAGCUU
rnacentral:lncRNA from 1 species